AAAAAGUAUUUUUUAGUCUUUACUUUUGAAUUUGAAUUUAAGGGUUUUUGUUGGUUUCCAAAGAGACUUUUAACAGGUUGACCGUUUCUUUGAUUUGGAGUUAAACUCUGUGUUAUUGUAAUUUGUUUAAAAGUCCAACUGCUCCCUUGUUGAUCUAAUUUAUAUCAACAAGUCAGUGUCAAUAGCUGUAAAGAAGAACCAAGAGCCUCCAUUAAAUACCCCCUCUCUAUGACACAGUGCAAGGAGGAGGAAAAGGUGCAUUAAAUUAUAUAGAUUGCAGAUGAGAAUCACGAGGGAUUUGGUACCUUAAAAACAUGCAUGUUUCUCGCACCUUUCUUCCCUUUCUCAAAUCUUAUACCUAUAUACGAAAACCCUUCUCCUUCCCCUACAUAGUGUGAGCCUUAAUUUACAGCAAAAGGGUAAGAAAGCCCCUUGUUUACUCCAUUUUUCGGCUUAUUGUUUCUCUGGUAUGUUGGUUUGAGAGGUUGAAGCUGCCAGCAUGAUCUGGAGAAGUUUAUCAAUCAUUUGGUUAAGGGCUUUUAGAGUCUUAGAUUACCAGGCAACUUAGAUGUGUUUAUAAAGAACCCUGCCUGUACUUAAGCUUCAUAGGUUGUCGGUUCAUACUAUCAGAUCAUCUUGCAGCUUCAAUCACUCACUCACCAACAAAAGAACUUUCUUCCUACCUACAUAUCAUAUGGAUACUUGAGAUUUUGGCUCUUUAAGUAAUUAAGACCUUCAUUUCCAGGUAAUUCCUCUAUGCUUGGCUCAAAACUUUUUCAUUUCUUGAUGAAGUUUUCCUGAUAUAUUGAUUUUCUAAGAAAUUGCAGUCAUCUGCAUAUCUCCUCUCUCUCUCUUUACUGCUUGCAUACAUUUAUUCAGACACUUGAUACAUGAAGCCAUAUGUAUAUGAUGAACUUUCAACUUCAUCCUGGUGCUUGUUUGACCUCUUAUUAUAUACCUUAUAAGAUAAUUAUUUUUUAUUUUCCAAGGAAGAAAAGAUAAUGUUGACUAUGCACAGUUUUCAUGAGCUGUUUGCAUGCCUGUGUGUGCAACUUUGUCUUCACUUCCUUGGUGGUAUCCAUAAUCAUAAAGUAAAACAAAAUCCCAUUACACAAGAAAAACAUGAUUGAUAAUCAGAUUGAUUCACAGUACUAUUUUAUAAUACUAUGACAUAUUGGUGUAUCACCCCAAUUACAUAUUGCAAACUAUAUAUAUACAUGGGAUUCUUGAAAUUUGAUGCCCCUUAUAAUUUACCACAAUGUUUAUUUCAUACUGCUGCUUGGGGAGUUGAACUUGAUUUCAGUGAGGAGACAAAAAUAACUGUGAUUUGGUUGCCUCAGUUGCCUCCCUCCCAACACACUGUUAGGGGACCAAUUUGAUGUUUUCAUGACCCACCAAUUUGAAUGCACACUUUCAGUAUAGUAAUAACCAUUUCACUGGGAGCUGAUGAAUUCUAUAUAUGUACAGCAAAUAAUGCAUUGAAUUGAAAGUUGUGUAUUUAUAUGCCAUACGAUCAGAAAUAAUGGCAUAUUAAUAUUAUUGGUGAGACACAGCUAGUCAUGCAAUUUAUGGUUCAUGAAUGUUUGAAUAAACACGAUAGCAUGUGAAAUGAAAUGAUUGUGUGUAUAUUUUCUUCCAUUUUUGUUUUAUCUUUAGACACAUAAUUACUGUAGGAAAGCGUAAACUAGACUCAUGUCUUCAUUACAGAACCAGUUCAUGUUUGCAUCUAGCUGGUUCUUACAAAUCUUUAGUCUCGUUCAUGAAUUUGUUUCUCAAAAUCCCAGAUUUAUAUAUUAAACAAUAAUCAGCUUGGACGGUUGGUAUUAAUUUGGACUUACUGGCAAAAAAGGAGAUAGUUACUUUCAGCAUUUAAGUUUUGAACAGCUGAUAUCAUCUGCUAUGGUCUUUUUUUUUAGUACAUGAUCUUGGGACACCGCAGUUGGUGGCCUUUUAAUUUGUGGAUCGACAAAAUCUUUAAUGUAGACAGUCAUGUCCUUAUAAGUUUUGGUUAUAGUUUGUUUCAUAUGAAAAUUUUAUUCAAAUUGAAAAAAAAAAAACCCUACUCAUAUCUCCAAUGGUUUCUCUUUUUAGUUACCAUUUCUUUUUUGGGGAUUUUCAGGGGUCAGCAUCUAGCCUAGGACUCAACCCUUUUCAUUUUCAUUACAUUAGGAUAUGUGUGUGUGUGUGUAGCAAUGUAUCCGACUCAUUGAUCGGCUGCAUGCAAUGAAUUAUGUUUGACAUCGUGAUCUGAUAACUGAACUUUCAGGGUUUUAUUUUGGUAAGGUCUGAGGUACAAGAACUGUAUCCACAGUUCCAAAAGCUUCUUAAAAUAACCCUGAGAGGCUAGUUUUGCUUAAUCUAAUAAACCCAAACACUUUUUUUUUGUGUUUUCUCAUCUUUCCUGUGGAUUUGAGAUAAAAUAAUUUACUGACUGCUCCAAUAUGUAAAUGUAUAUAUAUACAUGAAUAGUAUUUGCAUUCCUUUUCCAUUAAUGGUUUUCUUUUGUUCUAAUUAACUUAAUUUGAUUUCGAUGAUGGACCGGCAGCUACUAGCAAAAGUAGAUUCAGAGGGUUUUAAUUUUAGAAUAAAUGAUUCUGUGUGAUCUUUAUUUCCCUAGCUAGUACGUGCACGAAAGGUCAUAACUAGUGUAGUUUUUAAGUAAAUUAAACAGUAUAAUUAGUAUUAUCAUCAAUCAUAAUUAUCAAUUAUUUGAUUUUAUAAA